rnacentral:lncRNA from 1 species
UCAGAGUACGCAUGCUCUGAUAUUCUCUUUGGAUUCUUCCAAAAUCAGAGGUGAGGAGACCUGGAGGGGGCAGAGCAGUGGCCCAGGGGACAGUGUGGGGUGAUCAGAUUUCUGAGGAGGGGAGGACAGAGGUACUGGGGACAAGGAGCAGGGUCUCGGGGGAGAUCUGGACCCUUGGGAGCCUCCCACCCUCGCUCUGUCAUCACCUAGCGUCUUCGAUGAUAUUGCCAAAUAUUUCUCUAAGAAAGAAUGCGAAAAGACGAAAGCCUGGGAGAAAAUCAUCUAGGUGUAUAUGAAGAUAAACUAUGAGGUCAUGACUAAACUAGGUUUCAACGUCACCCUCUCACCUUUCAUGCGUAAUAAACGGGCUGCAGACUUCCAGGGGAAUGAUUCUGAUAAUGACCGUAACCAUGGGAAUCAGGUUGAACGUCCUCAGAUGACUUUUGGCAGGCUCCAGGGAAUCUUCAGGAAAUAGGGAGGCCCAAGAAAAGGAGGCGAAACAGGGAACAGCUCAUCGGUGGAGCAGUCAGAACACACACAACAUUAAUCGAUUACGUUCGUCAUCUCCUGUGGGUGCAGUUCCUGCUACCUCCAAAACAAUUACCCACAACAGGGACCCAAAAGGGGGAAACAUGCCUGGACCCAAAGACUGUGUGAUAGAAAGCAGCUGGUGAUUUAUGAAGAGAUCAGCGACCCUGAGGAAGAUGACGAGUAACUGGAUAUGACACAUGCCCAUGAUGAGAAGCAGAAUGUGGUGACCUUUCACGAACAUGGGCAUGGCUGCAGACCCUCGUCAUCAGGUGUAUAGCAAGUGAAAGCAAGUGUUCACAACAGUGAAAAGUUGAGCAUCAUUUUUCUUAGUGUGCCAAGAGUUCGAUGUUAGCGUUUCCAUUGUAUUUUCUUACAGUGUGCCAUUCUGUUAGAUAUUAUCCUUUUCAUUGAUGAGCAAGACAUACUUAAUGCAUUUUUGGUUUGUGUAUCCAUGCACCUACUUAGAAAAGAAGUAUUGUCAGGUAUUCUCUCCAUAGAACAGCACUACCUUCCUCUCUCCCCAGAUGUGACUACUGAGGGCAGAUCUGAGUGUUUAAUUUCAGAUUUUCUCCUCUGCAUUUACACACCACACACACACACACACACACACACACACCAAGUACCAGUAUAAGCAUCUCCCAUCUGCUUUUCCCCAUUGCCAUGCAUCCUGGUCAAGCCCCCCCUCAAUUUGUUUCCUGUUCAGCAUGUACUCCCCUCCUCUGAUUCCCCAUAUCAGUCACUGACAGUUAAUACACCUUUGCAAACGUUC